rnacentral:rRNA from 1 species
AUGAAGUUAGCGGCGGACGGGUGAGUAACACGUGGGUAACCUGCCCGUAAGACUGGGAUAACUCCGGGAAACCGGGGCUAAUACCGGAUAACAUUUUGAACCGCAUGGUUCGAAAUUGAAAGGCGGCUUCGGCUGUCACUUAUGGAUGGACCCGCGUCGCAUUAGCUAGUUGGUGAGGUAACGGCUCACCAAGGCAACGAUGCGUAGCCGACCUGAGAGGGUGAUCGGCCACACUGGGACUGAGACACGGCCCAGACUCCUACGGGAGGCAGCAGUAGGGAAUCUUCCGCAAUGGACGAAAGUCUGACGGAGCAACGCCGCGUGAGUGAUGAAGGCUUUCGGGUCGUAAAACUCUGUUGUUAGGGAAGAACAAGUGCUAGUUGAAUAGGCUGGCACCUUGACGGUACCUAACCAGAAAGCCACGGCUAACUACGUGCCAGCAGCCGCGGUAAUACGUAGGUGGCAAGCGUUAUCCGGAAUUAUUGGGCGUAAAGCGCGCGCAGGUGGUUUCUUAAGUCUGAUGUGAAAGCCCACGGCUCAACCGUGGAGGGUCAUUGGAAACUGGGAGACUUGAGUGCAGAAGAGGAAAGUGGAAUUCCAUGUGUAGCGGUGAAAUGCGUAGAGAUAUGGAGGAACACCAGUGGCGAAGGCGACUUUCUGGUCUGUAACUGACACUGAGGCGCGAAAGCGUGGGGAGCAAACAGGAUUAGA